rnacentral:rRNA from 1 species
AGAGUUUGAUCCUGGCUCAGGAUGAACGCUAGCGGCAGGCCUAACACAUGCAAGUCGAGGGGCAGCACGGUGUAGCAAUACACUGGUGGCGACCGGCGCACGGGUGCGUAACGCGUAUGCAACCUACCCAUAACAGGGGGAUAACACUGAGAAAUUGGUACUAAUACCCCAUAACAUCAGGACCGGCAUCGGUUCUGGUUGAAAACUCCGGUGGUUAUGGAUGGGCAUGCGUUGUAUUAGCUGGUUGGUGAGGUAACGGCUCACCAAGGCAACGAUACAUAGGGGGACUGAGAGGUUAACCCCCCACAUUGGUACUGAGACACGGACCAAACUCCUACGGGAGGCAGCAGUGAGGAAUAUUGGUCAAUGGCCGAGAGGCUGAACCAGCCAAGUCGCGUGAAGGAAGAAGGAUCUAUGGUUUGUAAACUUCUUUUAUAGGGGAAUAAAGUGGAGGACGUGUCCUUUUUUGUAUGUACCCUAUGAAUAAGCAUCGGCUAACUCCGUGCCAGCAGCCGCGGUAAUACGGAGGAUGCGAGCGUUAUCCGGAUUUAUUGGGUUUAAAGGGUGCGUAGGUGGUGAUUUAAGUCAGCGGUGAAAGUUUGUGGCUCAACCAUAAAAUUGCCGUUGAAACUGGGUUACUUGAGUGUGUUUGAGGUAGGCGGAAUGCGUGGUGUAGCGGUGAAAUGCAUAGAUAUCACGCAGAACUCCGAUUGCGAAGGCAGCUUACUAAACCAUAACUGACACUGAAGCACGAAAGCGUGGGGAUCAAACAGGAUUAGAUACCCUGGUAGUCCACGCAGUAAACGAUGAUUACUAGGAGUUUGCGAUACAAUGUAAGCUCUACAGCGAAAGCGUUAAGUAAUCCACCUGGGGAGUACGCCGGCAACGGUGAAACUCAAAGGAAUUGACGGGGGCCC